UUCAUGUGAGCGCUCACCUCGUGAACAUGGUCAGUUUCUCUGUGAGAUAUUCAGAGGAUUUCCCUGCGCUCAAUGUCGCUCAGUAUCGCGGACAGGAUCCCAGAAUUCUCAUCAUAAGCACAGUUCCUGGAGUUACUGGUGUUCUGUUGGUGCUGGUGUUGUUUCUGAUGUUUACAGCGUCGUCUUAC